rnacentral:misc_RNA from 1 species
AAGUCGUAACAAGGUUUCCGUAGGUGAACCUGCGGAAGGAUCAUUAACACGUAUCCAAACGUAAAAAACCCCAACUGUUCCAAUGUUCUCACGUAGCCAGAGGUCUCUGAAUCAAAACUACUUUCCGGGCUAUGAUUUACCAGAGAUUGCGAACUACGCGGGUUACAAGAGCAGGAUUGAAUGUUCACGGGGACAAUCGAGCGGUAGUUUCAUAGGCAUUGUUUCCCCAAGCAGUCAGUGUCUGAAAGUGUCACUGAUUGUGCAAGGAUAGCGCUUCAACGAUUCCUGUAGACCGUACACUCGGGCAGGAGCUAUGCCAAAGGGUCCCCAUGCCCCCUUAUAACCCCACAGUUUAAUGUGAAGCUCAAUGUAAUACAUUGGGUAAAAAAACCGAACAACUGUUAACAAUGGAUAUCUUGGUUCUC